GGGCGAGUGGUGGAAUGGCAGACACAAGGGACUUAAAAUCCCUCGCCGCAAGGCAUGAGGGUUCGACUCCCUCCUCGCCCACCA
rnacentral:tRNA from 1 species